rnacentral:rRNA from 1 species
GACGAACGCUGGCGGCGUGCUUAACACAUGCAAGUCGAACGAUGAAGCUGGAGCUUGCUCCGGUGGAUUAGUGGCGAACGGGUGAGUAACACGUGAGAAAUCUGCCCUUGACUCUGGGAUAACUGCGGGAAACUGUAGCUAAUACCGGAUACUUUCCCUGGUGGGCAUCCACUGGGGAAGAAAGAACUUCGGUCAAGGAUGAUCUCGCGGCCUAUCAGCUAGUUGGUGAGGUAAUGGCUCACCAAGGGGACGACGGGUAGCCGGCCUGAGAGGGUGACCGGCCACACUGGGACUGGGACACGGCCCGGACUCCUACGGGAGGCAGCAGUGGGGAAUAUUGCACAAUGGGCGCAAGCCUGAUGCAGCAACGCCGCGUGAGGGAUGAAGGCCUUCGGGUUGUAAACCUCUUUUAGCAGGGAAGAAGCGAAAGUGACGGUACCUGCAGAAAAAGCACCGGCUAACUACGUGCCAGCCGCCGCGGUAA